CGAGCGAACAGACGAGGAGCUUGCUCCUCUGACGUUAGCGGCGGACGGGUGAGUAACACGUGGAUAACCUACCUAUAAGACUGGGAUAACUUCGGGAAACCGGAGCUAAUACCGGAUAAUAUAUUGAACCGCAUGGUUCAAUAGUGAAAGACGGUUUUGCUGUCACUUAUAGAUGGAUCCGCGCCGCAUUAGCUAGUUGGUAAGGUAACGGCUUACCAAGGCAACGAUGCGUAGCCGACCUGAGAGGGUGAUCGGCCACACUGGAACUGAGACACGGUCCAGACUCCUACGGGAGGCAGCAGUAGGGAAUCUUCCGCAAUGGGCGAAAGCCUGACGGAGCAACGCCGCGUGAGUGAUGAAGGUCUUCGGAUCGUAAAACUCUGUUAUUAGGGAAGAACAAAUGUGUAAGUAACUAUGCACGUCUUGACGGUACCUAAUCAGAAAGCCACGGCUAACUACGUGCCAGCAGCCGCGGUAAUACGUAGGUGGCAAGCGUUAUCCGGAAUUAUUGGGCGUAAAGCGCGCGUAGGCGGUUUUUUAAGUCUGAUGUGAAAGCCCACGGCUCAACCGUGGAGGGUCAUUGGAAACUGGAAAACUUGAGUGCAGAAGAGGAAAGUGGAAUUCCAUGUGUAGCGGUGAAAUGCGCAGAGAUAUGGAGGAACACCAGUGGCGAAGGCGACUUUCUGGUCUGUAACUGACGCUGAUGUGCGAAAGCGUGGGGAUCAAACAGGAUUAGAUACCCUGGUAGUCCACGCCGUAAACGAUGAGUGCUAAGUGUUAGGGGGUUUCCGCCCCUUAGUGCUGCAGCUAACGCAUUAAGCACUCCGCCUGGGGAGUACGACCGCAAGUUG
rnacentral:rRNA from 1 species